UACGUAGGGUGCGAGCGUUGUCCGGAAUUACUGGGCGUAAAGAGCUCGUAGGUGGUUUGUCGCGUUGUUCGUGAAAACUCACAGCUUAACUGUGGGCGUGCGGGCGAUACGGGCAGACUGGAGUACUGCAGGGGAGACUGGAAGUUCCUGGUGGUAGCGGUGAAAUGCGUAGAGAUCCGGAGGAACACCGAAAGCGAAGGCAGGGUCCUGGCCGGUACCUGAGCGCGUCGUGGGCGAAAGCUAGGGAGCGAACGGG
rnacentral:rRNA from 1 species